GGAAGGAUCAUUAUCGUACAAACAUGUGUUGAGGGCGUGUGAGGGCUGUCGCUGACUUUUCGACACAAAAGUUGUGCACGCCGGAGCACAUCCUCUCACAUAAAAUCCAUCUCACCCUUUCGUGCACCACCGCGUGGGCACCCUUUGGGAUCGAAUCGAUCCAGGAGGGGGCUUGCGUUUUCACACAAACCCCUUUUAAAAAGUGUAGAAUGACCCCACUUUGCGAUGACACGCAAUCAAUACAACUUUCAACAACGGAUCUCUUGGCUCUCGCAUCGAUGAAGAACGCAGCGAAAUGCGAUACGUAAUGUGAAUUGCAGAAUUCAGUGAAUCAUCGAAUCUUUGAACGCACCUUGCGCCCCUUGGUAUUCCGAGGGGCACACCCGUUUGAGUGUCGUGAAAAUCUCAACCUUCUCGGUUUUCUUCUGGACACCGAAGGAGGCUUGGACUUUGGAGGCCUUUGCUGGCGUCUCUCUCUCUUCUCGAGAGCCCAGCUCCUCUUAAAUGAAUUAGCGGGGUCCUCUUUGCCGAUCCUAGACAUGUGAUAAGAUGUUUCCAUGACUUGGUUUCUGGCUCUGUUGCCUUUGGGACCCGCUUCUAACCGUCUCGACGAGACAACGUUUGGGUGUGUCUCCCUUCUCGGGAGACUCUCUCAACCCUAAGAACCCUUGACCUCAAAUCGGGUGAGACUACCCGCUGAACUUAAGC
rnacentral:rRNA from 1 species